AGCGAACGUUGGCGGCGCGCUUAACACAUGCAAGUCGAACGCGAAAAGCCCUCGGGCUGAGUAGAGUGGCGCACGGGUGAGUAACACGUGAGUAAUCUUCCCUUUGAUCUGGGAUAACAUGCCGAAAGGCGUGCUAAUACUGGGAUAAGACCACGCCCCCUGCGGGGGAUGUGAGAAAAGAUGGGGACCCGAAAGGGCCUGUCGUCGAAGGAUGAGCUCGCGGCCUAUCAGCUAGUUGGCGGGGUAAUGGCCCACCAAGGCUAAGACGGGUAGCUGGUCUGAGAGGAUGAUCAGCCACACUGGAACUGAGACACGGUCCAGACUCCUACGGGAGGCAGCAGUCGAGAGGCUUCGGCAAUGGGGGAAACCCUGACCGAGCGACGCCGCGUGGGCGAUGGAGGUUGUAAGAUCGUAAAGCCCUGUCAGGAGGGAGAACUGCCAAUGGGCAAACAGGCCAUUGGUUUGACGGUACCUCCAGAGGAAGCUCCGGCUAACUCCGUG
rnacentral:rRNA from 1 species